GGAUUAGAUACCCUGGUAGUCCACGCCGUAAACGAUGUCUACUAGCCGUUGGGGGGCUUGACCCCUUAGUGGCGAAGCUAACGCGAUAAGUAGACCGCCUGGGGAGUACGGUCGCAAGAUUAAAACUCAAAUGAAUUGACGGGGGCCCGCACAAGCGGUGGAGCAUGUGGUUUAAUUCGAUGCAACGCGAAAAACCUUACCAGGCCUUGACAUCCUGAGAAUUCGGUAGAGAUACCUUAGUGCCUUCGGGAACUCAGUGACAGGUGUUGCAUGGCUGUCGUCAGCUCGUGUCGUGAGAUGUUGGGUUAAGUCCCGUAACGAGCGCAACCCUUAUCCUUAUUUGCCAGCACGUAAUGGUGGGAACUCUAAGGAGACUGCCGGUGACAAACCGGAGGAAGGAGAGGAUGACGUCAAGUCAUCAUGGCCCUUACGGCCUGGGCUACACACGUGCUACAAUGGAAAGUACAGAGGGCCGCAAUGCCGCGAGGUGGAGCAAAUCCCAGAAAACUUUUCGUAGUCCGGAUCGGAGUCUGCAACUCGACUCCGUGAAGUCGGAAUCGCUAGUAAUCGCGAAUCAGCAUGUCGCGGUGAAUACGUUCCCGGGCCUUGUACACACCGCCCGUCACAUCAUGGGAGUGGGUUGCACCAGAAGUAGCCAGUUUAACCUUCCGGAGCACGGCUGUCCCCUAUACACC
rnacentral:rRNA from 1 species